ACUCAAAUGAAUUGACGGGGGCUCACACAAGCGGUGGAUGAUGUGGCUUAAUUCGAGGCUACGCGAAGAACCUUAUCCUAGUCUUGACAUGCACGGAUUAACUCCUGGAAACAGGAGCCAGGCCUUCGGGUACAACGUGCACAGGUGCUGCAUGGCUGUCGUCAGCUCGUGUCGUGAGAUGUCGGGUUAAGUCCCUUAACGAGCGAAACCCUUGUCUCUAGUUGCCAGCGGGUCAUGCCGGGAACUCUAGAGAGACUGCCGGUGUUAAACCGGAGGAAGGUGGGGAUGACGUCAAGUCCUCAUGGCCUUUAUGAUUAGGGCUGCACACGUCAUACAAUGGCGCGAACAAAGGGAAGCCAAGUCGCGAGACCUAGCAAAUCCCAAAAAACGCGCCCCAGUUCGGAUUGCAGGCUGCAACUCGCCUGCAUGAAGCCGGAAUCGCUAGUAAUCGCGGGUCAGCAUACCGCGGUGAAUGUGUUCCUGAGCCUUGCACACACCGCCCGU
rnacentral:rRNA from 1 species